GGGAAGGGGGAACGGGAAUGGGAGUGGAGGGAGAUCCCAUCGGGAAGGGGACGGGGAAUGCAACAGGUGGCAGAGGGUGCAGAGGGAGACGGGGAAUGGGAAUGGAACUGGAGGGAGAUGCUGCAGGGGAAGGGGAAAGGGGAAUGGGAAUGGGAGUGGUGGGAUAUGUCGGAGGGGAAUGGGAAGGGGAAUUGGAAGGGGACUGGAGGGAGAUGCCACAGGGAAAAGGGAAAGUUGAAUGGGAUUUGGAAUGGGAUUGGAGGGAGAUGGCACCGGGAAAGGGGAAAGGGGAAUGGGAUUUGGAAUGGGAUUGGAGGGAGAUUCCUCAGGGGAAGGGGAAAGGGAAUAGGAAGCGGACCUGAGGGAAAUGCUGCAGGGGAAUGGGAUUUGGAAUGGGACUGGAGGGAGAUGCCUCAGGGGAAGGGGUUGGAGAAUUGGAAGGGGACUGGAGGGAGAUGCCUCAGGGGAAUGGGUUGGGGAAUUGGAAAGGGACUGGAGGGAGAUGGCAGUGGGGAAGGGGAAAGGGGAAUGGGAAUGGGAGUGGUGGCAUAUGGCGCAGGGGAAGGGGAAAGGGGAAUGGGAAAGGGACUGGAGGGAGAUGGCUCAGGUGAAGGUGAAGGGGAAUUUUAAGGGGACUGCAGGGAGAUGGCACAGGGGAAGUGGAAAGGGGAAUGGGAUUUGGAAUGGGACUGGAGGGCGAUGCUGCGGGGGAAGGGAGAAAGGGAAUUGGAAUGGGAGUGGUGGGAUAUGGCGCAGGGGAAGGGGAUGGGGGAUGGGAAUGGGACAGGAGGGAGAUGGCAGAGGGCAAGGGGAAAGGGGAAUGCGAAUGGGAGUGGAGGGAGAUGGCACAGGGGUAGGGGAAAGGGGAAUGGGAUUUGGAAUGGGACUGGUGGGAGAUGCUUGAUGGGAGGGGAAAAGGGAAUAGGAAAGGGACAGGAGGGAAAUGCUGCAGGGGAAGGGGAAUGGGAUAUGGAAUGGGACUGGGGGGAGAUGCCUCAGGGGAAGGAGAAAGGGGAAUGGGAUUUGGAAUGGGAUUGGAGGGAGAUGCCUCAGGGGAAGGGGAAAGGGGAAUGGGAUUUGGAAUGGGACUGGAGGGAGAUGCCACAGAGAAAGGGGAAAGGGGAAUGGGAUUUGGAAUGGGACUGGAGGGCGAUGCAGCAGUGGAAGGGAAAAGGGAAAUUGGAAUGGGAGUGGUGGGAUAUGGCGCAGGGGAAGGGGAUGGGGAAUAGGAAUGGGACAGGAGGGAGAUUCCUCAGGGGAAGGGAAACGGGAAUGGGAAGGGGACUGGAGGGAGAUGGCACAGGGAAAGGGGAAUGGGAUUUGGAAUGGGAUUGCAGGGAGAUGCCUCAGGGGAAGGGGAAAGGGGAAUGGAAUUUGGAAUGGGACUGGAGGGAGAUGCUGGAAGGGAGGGGAAAAGGGAAUGGGAAAGGGACAGGAGGGAAAUGCUGCAGGGGAAUGGGAAUGGGAUAUGGAAUUGGACUGGAGGGAGAUGUCUCAGGGGAAGGGGAAAGGGGAAUGGGAUUUGGAAUGGUAUUGGAGGGACAUGCCUCAGGGGAAGUGGAAAGGGAAUAGGAAGCGGAUUGGAGGGAGAUGCCACAGGGAAAGGGGAAAGGGGAAUGGGAUUUUCAAUGGGACUGGAGGGCGAUGCUGCAGGGCAAGUGGAAUGGGGAAUGGGAUUUUGAAUGGGAUUGGAGGGAGAUGCCUCAGGGGAAGGGGAAAGGGAAUAGGAAGGGCACUGGAGGGAAAUGCUGCAGGGGAAGGGGAAUGGGAAUGGGACUGGAAGGAGAUGCCUCAGGGGAAGGGGAAAGGGGAAUGGCAAUGCGAUUGGUGGGAUAUUGCGCAUGGGAAUGGGAAGGGGAAUUGGAAGGGGACUGGAGGGAGAUACCACAGGGCAAGGGGAAUGGGAAUUGGAAGGGGACUGGAGGGAGAUGGCACAGGGGAAGCGGAAAGGGGAGUGGGAAUGGGAAUGGGAGUGGUGGGAUACGGCGGAGGGGAAGGGGAAGGGGAAUUGGAAGGGCACUGGAGGGAAAU
rnacentral:lncRNA from 1 species